CCUAUAUGAGCCAGUCCAUGCGAAAAGGUACAAAAACGAAAAAUUAACGAAAAUCUAAAAAGUGUGCAUAAUUAUUGGUAGUAGACUUGAGAUUUAUAAAACACAUUUACUUUUCCUCAUAUCAUCAAGCUGUGAGCUACACGCACCUGCAAGUGUUGGGACCCCCCCCCCCCGUAGUUUUAUCAAGAUUUUUAGUGAACUAAUUCAUAUAUUUCAAUAAUUUUCAAAGUACAGUUUAAAUGGCUUGAUUUGCCAAUUGAUAAUGUUAACCCCGGUAGCAGUGGGGAUAAGGCUCCCGCUUACGAUGCGGAUAUCAAUGUAAUCAAACCGGGCAACGGUUCGAAUCCCGUGCAACUAAGGUUGAUUUAAAUAAUAUUAAAUAACUUAACUUAACUUAAAUUUCAAUUUCUAAAACACAAGAUGUCAUAGUUUUUGUAUUUUCCCUCGUGUUUUAAUGUUGUCUUACUUUCUUUAAACCUGUAGAACUGACGGAAAUUAUUGACUUUUGUCUCUGUAGUGUCGUAAAUUUUUAAGUUUCUGGUCGGUAUAGCAUUAGUCCGGGGAACAAAUGAUUUUACACUUGCUCAAAUACCAAAAAUUCAGAUAUUUCUACGUCUUUUUCUGUUUUAGUUGACAAAUUCGGGAUAGAAUUGACAAUCUUAUGAAUGUUUACAUUAAUGUAAUUUUUUUCGGAUAAAAUCGUUUUUGAAAAAUACUAUAACAAACUUUGAUAACGUGUCCUGUAAAGUUUACCAAAAGGACUUUUUGUACCUUUUCGCAUGGACUGGCUCAUAUAUAA
rnacentral:lncRNA from 1 species